UACGUAGGGUGCGAGCGUUGUCCGGAAUUAUUGGGCGUAAAGAGCUCGUAGGCGGUGUGUCACGUCGGCCGUGAAAACCUGCAGCUUAACUGUGGCGUGCGGUCGAUACGGGCAUCACUGGAGUUCGGCAGGGGAGACUGGAAUUCCUGGUGUAGCGGUGGAAAUGCGCAGAUAUCAGGAGGAACACCGGUGGCGAAGGCGGGUCUCUGGGCAGUAACUGACGCUGAGGAGCGAAAGCGUGGGGAGCGAACAGG
rnacentral:rRNA from 1 species